CAAAUUAGAGCUUGAAUAGGAAAGCAUUUUAUUUACAUUAAAAAGUUGUUGUGCAAAUCAAUUUAAUUUGA
rnacentral:tRNA from 1 species